GAUGAACGCUAGCGGGAGGCUUAACACAUGCAAGUCGAGCGAUGAAGUUUCCUUCGGGAAAUGGAUUAGCGGCGGACGGGUGAGUAACGCGUGGGUAACCUGCCUCAUAGAGGGGAAUAGCCUCCCGAAAGGGAGAUUAAUACCGCAUAAUAUUACAGUUUCGCAUGAAACAGUAAUUAAAGGAGCAAUCCGCUAUGAGAUGGACCCGCGGCGCAUUAGCUAGUUGGUGAGGUAACGGCUCACCAAGGCGACGAUGCGUAGCCGACCUGAGAGGGUGAUCGGCCACAUUGGGACUGAGACACGGCCCAGACUCCUACGGGAGGCAGCAGUGGGGAAUAUUGCACAAUGGGGGAAACCCUGAUGCAGCAACGCCGCGUGAGUGAUGACGGUCUUCGGAUUGUAAAGCUCUGUCUUUGGGGACGAUAAUGACGGUACCCAAGGAGGAAGCCACGGCUAACUACGUGCCAGCCGCCGCAGUAAAAC
rnacentral:rRNA from 1 species